rnacentral:rRNA from 1 species
UACGAAGGGGGCUAGCGUUGUUCGGAAUUACUGGGCGUAAAGCGCGCGCAGGCGGCUAUCCAAGUCAGUGGUGAAAGCCCGGAGCUCAACUCCGGAACUGCCAUUGAAACUGUUUAGCUUGAGGAUGAGAGAGGUGAGUGGAAUUCCCAGUGUAGAGGUGAAAUUCGUAGAUAUUGGGAAGAACACCGGUGGCGAAGGCGGCUCACUGGCUCAUUACUGACGCUGAUGCUCGAAAGCUAGGGGAGCAAACAGG